AAAACAUACAUUUCUAUAUUUACUGUAACUUUCACAUACAUGUCUACAUUUAAUCAGUUGCCGUGUUUAUAUACAAUGACGUGAGUUUAUCAAAACAUGUAAUUUUAAUUGCACGUUUCGAGUUCGAGUUGUUAAAAAAAUGAAAUGCCCCUUUAAAAAAAUGAUAGCUUGCAUUUAAAAGAGCUUAAUGUUCUCAUUGUUGCAGUCAAAAAUAUUAGGUUGGUCCAGUUUACUCAUAAGUUUGUCCCUUAUUUUCCUUUGCUGAAGUUGCCAACCCUAGUCAUGGAGAAUGUGAGAUCUCUUAACAAAAAGAUGGACGGCAUCAAAGGGAAUUCCGGAAGUGUAGCAUCAUGCUGUCUACGGAGUCAUGGCUAACCAAGCUAACACCGGGUUCAACCGUGGCUCAGGAUAAAUCUCAACUACUGCGCGAUGGAGAGCGGGCUGUAUGGUGUUUUCUCAACAACAAACCAUGGAUCAACCCUGAUAUAAAGUCUCUCUUAAAGAGAAGAGGUAUUUUAAAUCAGGUAACAAGGAAGAGCUGAAAACUGGCCAUAGAGAACUGAGAAAGAAGAAAAAGCAUGCUACAGGAGGAAGAUGGAUAAUCAGCUGCAGCAAACCAUCACUGGUCAUAAUGAGCCCAGCUCUUAGACUGACCAGAAUUGGGUGAAUGGUCUAAAUUCGAUUCUUUAACUGAUUUGAUACAGCAACCCACCUCUGCACCAUCCACCCUCGCCUGCUGCAACUCCUCUUCUCUGCUUCCACAGCAAGCUGCUCCAGCCCCACCUCUCUCUGCAUUGCUAUCAGCUCAUAGCCUACUCACAACACACCUAAUAUAUCCCCCUACCUAUUCCCCACCAGCCCCACUCCAACCACUACAUACUGCCCCUUACAGAAGCCCAGGUAGGAAUGGAGCUCAGGAAGAUCAAGUGAGGAAGGUUGCAGGCCCACACGGCAUCAGCUCCAGGCUCCUUAACACCUGUGCAGAGCAGCUGUGUGGCAUGUUGUUGCACAUGUUUGGUCUGAGCCUAAAGCUAGGUAAGGUGCGCCAGCUGUGGAAGACAUCCUGUAUGGUACCUGUACCAAAUAUGUCAUGCUCAAAAGACUUUGGGGACUACAGACCAGUAGCAUUGACCUUGCAUCUGAUGAAGACGUUGGAGAGGAUGGUGCCUAUUCAUCUCCGACCUCUGUUCAUCCCAUCAAUGAAUCCACUUCAGUUUGCAUACCAGCCUGUCAUUAGAGGGGGAGACACUGUCAACUUCCUCCUAAUAAGGGCUUUUUCCCAAAUGGAAAAGGCUGGGAGCACAGUGAGAGUCAUGUUUUUUAUUCUCUAGUGCUUUUAACACCAUCUAACCUGCGCUUCUGAGGGAUAAGCUGGUGUACAUGGACCAUCAUCUGUCUGCCUGGAUAUUGGGUUACUGCACAAACUGAGCACAGUAUGUGAGGACUUGUGACUAUGAGUCUGACAUGGUUGUCUUCAACACUGGAGCUUUGCAGAGAAUGGCCCUGGCUUUGUUCCUCUUCACUGUCCACACUGCAUACUUUAUGUUCAUCUUAGCAACCUGCCAUCUGCAGACUGACCCAAAACUUUGUGGACUAAUGCUAACGGAGCUGCCUCCAAAGAACCGGUGGUGGAUUUUCAUAGGCACAGCCACACUUCACUAUCACCAGUGAACAUUGAGGGAACAGACAUUGUGAGAGUGAACUUUUACAAAUACCUGGGUGUUCAUCUAAACAUCAAACUGGACAGAUAAUACUGAGACAAUUUACAAGAAAGGACAAAGCAGAUUCUUUCUGCUGAGGAGACUAAGGUCUUUUGGAGUGCAGGGAAAGCUACUAAAGACCUUUUUUGAUUCUGUGGUGGCCCCAGCCACCUUCUAUGGUGUGGUGUGCUGGUGCUGAUCAGGAUCAGAAAUGCCAGUGCAGGCCUGGGGAGUCCCCUGAACACUGUACAGGAAGUGGGAGAAAGGAGAAUGGUGAAACCAAACUAAACUAUACUUUAUACACUGUGAUGUAUAUAUUUGUACUAUGUCUCUACUUUACUAAAGUUCAUUUGUUUCAAUGUAGGCAUGUGUGGCUUAUGUGCAGUGUAUUUAUGUUCUAAAUAAUUAAAUAAAAACAAAUGUAAUUCA